UACAGAGGGGGCAAGCGUUGUUCGGAAUUACUGGGCGUAAAGGGCGCGUAGGCGGCCAGACCAAGUCGAGUGUGAAAUUGCAGGGCUUAACUUUGCAGGGUCGCUCGAUACUGGUCGGCUAGAGUGUGGAAGAGGGUACUGGAAUUCCCGGUGUAGCGGUGAAAUGCGUAGAUAUCUGGAGGAACACCGGUGGCGAAGGCGGCAUUCUGGACUGUAACUGACACUGAGGAACGAAAGCCAGGGGAGCAAACGGG
rnacentral:rRNA from 1 species